GGUCCGAUGGUGUAGUGGUAAACAUGCUUGCCUGUCACGCAGGAGAUCGCGGGUUCAAGUCCCGUUCGGACCGCCA
rnacentral:tRNA from 1 species